rnacentral:rRNA from 1 species
CUGGUCACACCAGCCUGAGCAUGCCUGUUUUCAGAAGCUAAGCAGGUAUGGGCCUGGUUAACACUUAAACGGGGGAAUGCCAGGUGCUGUACAGU